GGGGCUCUAACUCCCUAGAAACCCUGGGCCAAGUCCUUUGUGAUCAGUAAGCUCAUCCUGCAACAUCAUCCUGCAAUGCACCCAAACCCUGGGCAAGGGGGAAUAACUGCUGUGAAUGAAAGCUGGUACCCGCCUUCAGGCUCAGGAAGCUUGGUGGAUGCAAGCAGCCCCUGACGGGAUCCUCAGCAUUAGUCAGCAUCGAUCCUGAACAUCACCCUCCUCCACCUGGGCUCCCGGAAGCAAAUCAGCACUGGCUGAGCCAGGUUUGGCUCUCAAGGUGGCCCUGCCACAUCAGGCCCUCAGUUAACCCACCGCACACAGCACAGGUCAUUAAGACAUCCUCGACCUGCCUGCCGGACCUACACCACCAGCUCACUGAGGGUGGCCUUCCGGCCAAGGCCAGGAAGCACGAGGGACAAAUUGAGGCAUGAGGUGCUACUGCCCUCUGCUGGCAGCUUCCAAAUAUUCCAGGCCGAUGCCAAAGAGAAGGCCGAACAGGCCAGAAAGGGCAUCCUCCCUCCUUGCACUCAUCCUUCCACUGGGGGACACACAGGAUUGGCCGUUCCCACGGGGCCACAGAACUGGCCACACCCAGGAGAGUCAGCCAGCUUGCAGAGAGAACAGCACAGAAGAUGAGAGAGGAAGAGGAGAGCAGAAAGAAGGAAGCUCACCAACCUCCCAAGGGAUGACCUUAACACCAUCCUUCUCUCUAUCCUGCAAAGAUAGAGAGUUGUCCCACUCCAACACACUGGACACCGUGUCAAAGAGGACAACCCCAAAAGGCAUGGCAGGGAAGGAAGAAGAAAGACAAGUUAAGGAAUCCAAGACCCCUGGUGAGCUAUGGAGCAAUCUCUCCGGAAAUAAAAUGUGCACCCAAGCAGGGGCUCCAAUCAGACGCUUUCCCCAGCUAGAAAGGGGAGCCACCAGAGGAGAAAAUGAAGCCCGCCGCCCACUGCUGCCCUCAGUCCUGGCUGCUCUGGGGCUCACUUCCAGCCGCAGUCCUUGCUGACCAUCCCUGACCCUCCGUGCCGCCUCAGGAUGAGGACCGGCUCCUUUCUGACCCCAGCACUCAGUACUGCCGGGCUUCGUGUCCAGAUCCUUCCAUGUGGCUGGCACCCUGCCCCUGAUGCUACUGGGCCUCCACUGCACUGUGACCCCUUCUCCCCUGUCUCCUUAGCCAGACACCAUCCCUGCCAUCUGCCUGUGAGUAUGAUCUCCUCGCCCAAAGAAGGCUCUGACCUUGGGUAAGGGCUGACCUGGCCCCAGAGGCCCAGCUGUGACCACCAGCUUCAAGGCCCUGGGAUGCCUGUUUCUGAGCUUCUGCUGCUCUGGGUCAGCUUGACUUGUUUCUUGGCCCCAGUUCAACCCACUUUAUCCAAUACUGACUUUAGCUUUAGCAGGUACUGUGCCAGGAGCAAUGGGAACCACAGAGAAGUCUACUCACCACAGUAGAGUACUCGGGGUUCUGAACCAAGAACUUAUGGGGACAGCAAUCUGGAAGCCACUAGAGGGAGGCUCUGUGGGGACAGUAGUCAGUCUAUGCUGAUGGGUGAGAAGUUUCACCCAAGGAAAAACAGUGUGGAGGCUGGCGGCAAUGGCUGUCAUCUACUGAGCACGGUCUUGACCUACGUUACCUUCUACCUCCAUCCUAGCCCUGAAAUUUAAUUAUUAUCCUGAAGUUAAACUAUUAUGAGAUGAUAGAGCUUCAGCGCAUUAGAGUAGUUUGCCCCAGUUCCCACAGCUGGAGGGCUAUUUGAACCUGGUCUCACGUCCCUUGCACUGUAUUCUGUUGCUUCUCUAGCAGAAGGCAGAGCGUUGAGCCAACACGUAAGGGCGCGGAAGUGUUGGCACACUCAGGAAUGAGAGUGUUUCCCGACAGGCCAAAACACAGCUUUGGGAGCAUGAUUUUGUAGUAGCGGGAGGUGGCGUCACCUACACUUGCAGAGAUUUGCAGACGGAGGGUGAAGAGGGUAAGACUAGGGGUGGCUGACCGUUCCCUCUAUGAUAAUAGGACCCUUGGUUUUUGUCUUAGUUCUUAGCCACUCUCAAUAAAAGCUACAUUUCCCAGCCUUCCUUGCUGACA
rnacentral:lncRNA from 1 species